CNUUUUUAUAUCAUCUGCUCAUGAAACUUAAAUAGCCGCAAAAUAUAUUUUGUGCUAAGGUAGCAUAAUCAUUCGUUUUUUAAUUGAAAACCAGAACAAACGAUUAAACAUUUUAAUAAAUAUCUAAAAUUUAAAAAUAACUUUUCCUUAAUGUAAAAAGACAUUAAUAUAUUAGAAAGACGAUAAGACCCUAUUGAACUUUACUAAAGUUUAACUGGGGCAGUUAAUUAAUUUACAUUUUAAUAAAUAUAAUUAUAAAAAUGACCUAAUAAAAUUAAAUAACUAAUUAAGUUACCAUAGGGAUAACAGCGUAAUGAUUAUUUAUAGUACAUAUUAAAAUAAAAGAUUACGACCUCGAUGUUGAAUUAAUUUCCUAAAUUUAAGCAAUAUUAAUAACAAGGAAGUCUGUUCGACUUUUAAAAAAUUACAUGAUCUGAGCAAAANCCCGGGAGA
rnacentral:rRNA from 1 species